GUCGAGCGGAAUGACGAGAGCUUGCUCUCUGAUUUUAGCGGCGGACGGGUGAGUAACACGUGGGCAACCUGCCCUACAGAUGGGGAUAACUCCGGGAAACCGGGGCUAAUACCGAAUAAUCAGUUUGUCCGCAUGGACAAACUCUGAAAGACGGUUUCGGCUGUCACUGUAGGAUGGGCCCGCGGCGCAUUAGCUAGUUGGUGGGGUAAUGGCCUACCAAGGCAACGAUGCGUAGCCGACCUGAGAGGGUGAUCGGCCACACUGGGACUGAGACACGGCCCAGACUCCUACGGGAGGCAGCAGUAGGGAAUCUUCCACAAUGGACGAAAGUCUGAUGGAGCAAUGCCGCGUGAGCGAAGAAGGUUUUCGGAUCGUAAAGCUCUGUUGUAAGGGAAGAACACGUACGGGAGUAACUGCCCGUGCCAUGACGGUACCUUAUUAGAAAGCCACGGCUAACUACGUGCCAGCAGCCGCGGUAAUACGUAGGUGGCAAGCGUUGUCCGGAAUUAUUGGGCGUAAAGCGCGCGCAGGCGGUUCUUUAAGUCUGAUGUGAAAGCCCACGGCUCAACCGUGGAGGGUCAUUGGAAACUGGAGAACUUGAGUACAGAAGAGGAAAGCGGAAUUCCACGUGUAGCGGUGAAAUGCGUA
rnacentral:rRNA from 1 species